CUUUGUUUUGUUCUGAUACGCAAGAAACGAUCAUGGCUUGAAUCAGCUUCUAGGUAAUACAGCUAUAAUAUUCUGAGAUGCUAAGAGGUAGUUUCAAGAACUCCUAAUGCGACAUAUGUUUACCUCCAGCAUAAAAACAUACUCCUUUCGGGCGGAACAUCCCCGUAUGGCUAGCUUAGAAGAGUUCGACCAUAUCGCUUUCCAAAUCGUCCUUGUUUUUACGAGGUUAGCCCACACUUAAUAAACAGUACAUGGCUAACAAACCUGCCGGGCCCUCUUACAUGAUUGAAUUGGAAUUUAGGAGUUUUUUGUGGAAAAAGGAAAGCCGUAGAACACGUAGAAAAGCCCUCGACGCAAAGGAGAGAACCAACAAACAACUCAACUCUCACCGUCUCCUGUGGCAAACACAUGAUCAUUUUACAACAAGUCCAUUCCGUUCGAUUCAUAUGUCGUUUUAUUUCAUUCGUGGUUUAAAACUUUGUUUUUGACAUCUAGUUAUAUGCAGUAUGUAGCUGUAAAUUAUACUCUCUUAAAAGGUUACAGAAUAAUAUAACUCAUACAACUGUAACUGGUCCAAUCAGUCAAUCCGAAUGACUGAAAAAUGAUUCGAAUUUGACUGAGUAAGAUUUGCAUGCCAAUAAAUGAUAUGCAAGACUUUCUUCAACGUAACUUGUUCAGCACAGCGUUUAGUUUAUUAACUUUUAAGGCCUUGUUUCCAAUGCACUACCUACACCAUCCAACUUUGUUUACAAGCUAUAUAUUUUCAGUGUAAUCUACUCUACAAGUGGAGCUUAGAUAAGUAAAUAUCAAUACUGAGAGAGAAAAAAUCCAUUACCCAUGAGAUCCAGUGCCAAAAAAAAAAAACAUAUAGAAACAGAUAAAUGAUAGAAUACCACAUGCAAUGGAACAAUGACUUAAGAGCUCCGAGCAAACUGUAUCAGAUUAUUACUAAACAACAUUAAUCUCUUUUAUAUGAGCAAAACAUCUCA